rnacentral:rRNA from 1 species
ACACGAACGCUGGCGGCAGGCUUAACACAUGCAAGUCGAACGCGUGUAGCAAUACACGAGUGGCGCACGGGUGAGUAACACGUGGAUAUCUGCCUUUUGGUUCGGAAUAACCCUGGGAAACUAGGGCUAAUACCGAAUGGUUCCUACGGGAUAAAGAUUUAUCGCCAAAAGAUGAGUCCGCGUCCGAUUAGCUAGUUGGUGAGGUAACGGCUCACCAAGGCGACGAUCGGUAGCUGGUCUGAGAGGACGAUCAGCCACACUGGGACUGAGACACGGCCCAGACUCCUACGGGAGGCAGCAGGUGGGGAAUAUUGGACGAAUGGGGGCAACCCUGAUCCAGCCAUGCC